GGCUUCGUGUUCGAGUGGUAAGAACACUUGUCUCUCACUCCAGAGUCCCGGGUUCGAUCCCCAGUGAAGCAG